AACGAACGCUGGCGGCGUGCCUAACACAUGCAAGUCGAGCGCGAAAAGGGCACCCUGAGUAGAGCGGCGCACGGGUGCGUAACACGUGGGUAAUCUGCCUUAGAGUCGAGGAUAACCUUCCGAAAGGUUGGCUAAUACUCGGUAAGCUUACGGUGUCUUCGGACGCUGUGGGAAAAGUAGGCCUCUGUUUACAAGCUUACGCUCUGAGAUGGGCCCGCGGCCCCGCAGCUAGUUGGCGGUGUAACGGACCAACAAGGCAACGACGGGUAGCUGGUCUUAGAUGACGAUCAGCCACACUGGAACGGAGACACGGUCCGGACUCCUACGGGAGGCAGCAGUGGGGAAUUUUCCACAAUGGGCGAAAGCCUGAUGGAGCAACGCCGCGUGUGUGAUGAAGGUUUUCGGAUCGUAAAGCACUUUCGACUGGGACGAAAAACCUUUGGCUAACAUCCAGGGGCCUGACGGUACCAGGAGAAGAAGCACCGGCUAACUCUGUGCCAGCAGCCGCCGUAA
rnacentral:rRNA from 1 species